GCCAGGAAUAGCUCAGUUGGUGGAGCACGAGACUCUUAAUCUCAGGGCUGUGGGUUCAAGCCCCACCUUCGGCA
rnacentral:tRNA from 1 species